rnacentral:rRNA from 1 species
UACGUAGGGGGCAAGCGUUGUCCGGAUUCAUUGGGCGUAAAGAGCGUGUAGGCGGCCAGGUAGGUCGGUUGUGAAAACUGGAGGCUCAACCUUCAGACGUCGACCGAAACCAUCUGGCUAGAGUCCGGGAGAGGAGAGUGGAAUUCCUGGUGUAGCGGUGAAAUGCGCAGAUAUCAGGAAGAACACCCGUGGCGAAAGCGGCUCUCUGGAACGGUACUGACGCUGAGGCACGAAAGCGUGGGGAGCAAACAGG